CCUACGGGAGGCUGCAGUGGGGAAUAUUGGACAAUGGGGGCAACCCUGAUCCAGUCAUGCCGCGUGUGUGAAGAAGGCCCUCGGGUUGUAAAGCACUUUCAGUGAGGAAGAACGCCUGGUGGUUAAUACCCAUCAGGAAAGACAUUACUCACAGAAGAAGCACCGGCUAACUCCGUGCCAGCAGCCGCGGUAAUACGGAGGGUGCGAGCGUUAAUCGGAAUUACUGGGCGUAAAGCGCGCGUAGGUGGCUUGAUAAGCCGGUUGUGAAAGCCCCGGGCUCAACCUGGGAACGGCAUCCGGAACUGUCAAGCUAGAGUGCAGGAGAGGAAUGUAGAAUUCCCGGUUUAGCGGUGAAAUGCGUAGAGAUCGGGAGGAAUACCAGUGGCGAAGGCGGCCUGCUGGACUGACACUGACACUGAGGUGCGAAAGCGUGCGUAGCAAACAGGAUUAGCUAACCGGGUAGUC
rnacentral:rRNA from 1 species